AGCUACACAUGCAGUCGAGCGGAUGAAGGGAGCUUGCUCCCUGAUUCAGCGGCGGACGGGUGAGUAAUGCCUAGGAAUCUGCCUGGUAGUGGGGGACAACGUCUCGAAAGGGACGCUAAUACCGCAUACGUCCUACGGGAGAAAGCAGGGGACCUUCGGGCCUUGCGCUAUCAGAUGAGCCUAGGUCGGAUUAGCUAGUUGGUGAGGUAAUGGCUCACCAAGGCUGCGAUCCGUAACUGGUCUGAGAGGAUGAUCAGUCACACUGGAACUGAGACACGGUCCAGACUCCUACGGGAGGCAGCAGUGGGGAAUAUUGGACAAUGGGCGAAAGCCUGAUCCAGCCAUGCCGCGUGUGUGAAGAAGGUCUUCGGAUUGUAAAGCACUUUAAGUUGGGAGGAAGGGCAGUAAGUUAAUACCUUGCUGUUUUGACGUUACCGACAGAAUAAGCACCGGCUAACUUCGUGCCAGCAGCCGCGGUAAUACGAAGGGUGCAAGCGUUAAUCGGAAUUACUGGGCGUAAAGCGCGCGUAGGUGGUUUGUUAAGUUGGAAGUGAAAGCCCCGGGCUCAACCUGGGAACUGCUUUCAAAACUGGCAAGCUAGAGUAUGGCAGAGGGUGGUGGAAUUUCCUGUGUAGCGGUGAAAUGCGUAGAUAUAGGAAG
rnacentral:rRNA from 1 species